rnacentral:sRNA from 2 species
UGUAUUUCCGCAAGGGGAAGGAUGAGAAGCUUCGACUAAGGUUCGAUUCGAGCGCAGCGAGAAAGCGUUGCCGCAGGCAACGACCCGAAGGGCGAGGCGCAGCCGCCACCCGGCGACA